UCGUCACAACGGCUUCCUGGCGUGGCGAUAUAACUUAUUGGAGC
rnacentral:ncRNA from 1 species